GUGCAUUGCUAACACUCUGGCCCACGCACACAAAAUUCAGUGCAUCCCUGCAGAUGAUGCUUGCGUGAAAAUGGAACCAACAAGCCUGAAUAUUAAUCCAUUCCACAGAUAUGAACAUGACUUCAAAUAACAGAUGUUUUGGCAAAACUGAGGCAUCACUUCUGUCUGAGGAAUGGAUGGUGUCCCGCUGAUUUAUUCUCAUAAAGUCAGCUUCUCCUGCAGAGCAGAACACAUCAUACUGUGUAAAGUGUCCAGGCUGCUGUUGAUUUAAGCUAAUAGGAUUACCCCAUCGAGGACACCAUCACAUCUGGUUGUGAUGCACAGUCAUAAACUCUUUUUCUUGGUUUGUUUGGAGGAGAUGUCAUUUCAGACAGCUGCUCUGCCCUUGCCAAAGACAUUGUGACCCUACUUUCUUUCUGUCUUUUGAGGAAACUUUAGACUUACAUUGAAAAAAUUAUUCAGGUACAAUCCCCAUCUCGGCUAAAUUUGUUGGCCAGUUGUCCAGUAGGUGAAAAGACUCACCCAUAUUUCAGUAAUGGUAUCCAUGGAGAUUUGCAGCUACUCUGCCAAGAAAGGAUGAGAAGAUUGCCUGAGCCUUAAUUUUUUCUCCAGAUUGGGCAUGUUGUAAUAAAAAACAUUGAGAGGAAUCAGUGUUUGCUUUUCACGAAGUAUAUUUUAUGUUAUCUCAUGUAAUAUAUUUAUAUUGAUACAGAUUACAGAGCUAGCCAAAAAAUAAAUAAAUUAAAGGCUUUAAAACUGUAAUCCUCUAAACAUGGGUGACAUCAAUCUAAGUUAUUAUCAGCUAGCUAAUGCACAAUGCAGUGCUUUGUUAUGAAGAACAGGUUUGCUUGAAAUGUUAGGUAAAAGUUGAGUCCUGCAGUGUGCAACAUCUUGGUCUUUUUCAUGUACAGUGUUGACUGAAUUUCACCACUGCAUCUGCCCCAUUUUUUCAGUGGAUGUGCAUGCAUUUUCUUCUGUUUUCUGGAACCUGUGUUGGUACGAGUUACAGUAUAAAGAAAUCCACUCAGAAUUUCCAAGAUUUUUGGCUAAAAUCUUCUUAGAUGAAAGCACAGCUGACUGUUUUAGUCCAUUUAGAUUAGAAAACAACACAAAAAGCACCUCAUUAAUUUACACUCACUCGCCAUCAUAGUCAUUACAUCUCCUAAACUACCUGUUAACCUAACUUUCUAACCAGCCAAUCACAUUGUAGCAAUUUAUUUAGGCUUGUAGACAGAUGAGAGGAGAGGAGACUGGCCACACUGCUUUAAAUUGAUACGAAGCCAACAGUAGCUCAAAUAACCAGUCAUUACAACCAAGGUAUGCAGAAGAGCAUCUCUGAGAACACAACAUACUGAACUUUGAAACAGAUGGGCUACAGCAGCAGAAGACCACACUGUGGUCGCAAAGAUCCAAUCAUCUGAUAUCCUGUACAAACAGCCUCCACAAUCAUCAGAUCUCUUUCCAACAGAAAUGUAACAAAGCAACAUUCGAAAAAAAUUGGAAUGUUCCAUGUAACAGCAAUAUCCUGCAAAGUAGAAAAUGAUUUGUGGCAACGGCACCUCUUAAAUGAACUAAAAUGUGUUAUUUAAUGAGCUAUUUAAGUCCAUGUAUGCAUUUAGUUGGUGGUUUGAUAAAAUGUGGGAUAUAUGUUUUUGUAAUUCAUUUUUCUUUUGUUAUAAUAUUUGUAUAAAAAC